UACGGAGGAUGCAAGCGUUAUCCGGAAUCAUUGGGCGUAAAGCGUCCGUAGGUGGCGUUUCAAGUCUGCUGUCAAGGCACAAGGCUUAACCUUGUAAAGGCAGUGGAAACUACCGAGCUUGAGUACGGUAGGGGCAGAGGGAAUUCCCGGUGAAGCGGUGAAAUGCGUAGAUAUCGGGAAGAACGCCAACAGCGAAGGCACUCUGCUGGGCCGACACUGACACUCAGAGACGAAAGCUAGGGGAGCGAAUGGG
rnacentral:rRNA from 1 species